UGGGGGAUAUUGCACAAUGGGCGAAAGCCUGAUGCAGCGACGCCGCGUGGGGGAUGAAGGCUUUCGGGUUGUAAACCUCUUUCGCUAUCGAACAAGGCCCGCUUAGGGUGGGUUGAGGGUAGGUGGAGAAGAAGCGCCGGCUAACUACGUGCCAGCAGCCGCGGUAAUACGUAGGGCGCGAGCGUUGUCCGGAAUUAUUGGGCGUAAAGGGCUUGUAGGCGGCUUGUUGCGCCUGCUGUGAAAACGCGGGGCUUAACUUCGCGCGUGCAGUGGGUACGGGCAGGCUUGAGUGUGGUAGGGGUGACUGGAAUUCCAGGUGUAGCGGUGGAAUGCGCAGAUAUCUGGAGGAACACCGAUGGCGAAGGCAGGUCACUGGGCCAUUACUGACGCUGAGGAGCGAAAGCAUGGGGAGCAAACAGG
rnacentral:rRNA from 1 species